GGAGGUUUUAGUCCUCUUUCUGUCGACGGUCUUCUUCCUGAAAGUCAUAGUUCAGCUCAGACGAGUUGGUCAGAUGACUUUGCGUUUUCCUGUUUCUGCCUCAAAUUAGCUAUGUACAAAAUGUCCUCAAACGCUUAAUCUAUAAUGACAUCUGGAUUCUCCAACAUAGGCGACAGAUGUACUUCUGCAACAGAGCAGCGACUCGGCGCCGACGAGGAGGACCAUUGCAUAAUAUGCAUGGAUAGUUUUCAGGAAAAGACAACUUUAAAAUGUUCUCACUCAUUCUGUUCAAGUUGUAUUGACUCGUUUUUAAAAAUUAAACCCGCAUGUCCGGUAUGUAAUAGUUUUUACGGGACCUACGAAGGAACGCAGCCCCGGAACGGGACCAUGACAGUGAGACGCAACUGGCAGUGUUUACCUGGUUAUGAGGAGGGGAAUGGACAUAUCACGAUUGAUUAUCACUUUCCAGCCGGAGUACAAGGGCCUGAGCAUCCGAACCCGGGUGAGAAGUACUGUAGCACAUCCAGGACAGCCUUUCUGCCAGCCUGUGAGGAAGGAGAGAAGGUACUGAGGCUGCUCCAGACAGCCUUUCACAGGAGGCUCAUCUUCACGAUCGGGACAUCAGCCACUACCGGCCUCAACAACUCCAUCACAUGGAACGACAUACACCACAAGACCAACAUUAGUGGAGGACCACAGUUUUUCGGGUAUCCAGACCCGGGCUACCUCUCUCGGGUCCAGGAGGAGCUUCGUCUGAAGGGAGUGACAGAGGAGAGCUGACUUCACUGGAGCUUCAUGAAACCAGAACUACUCUUAGUUCAAAUUCUAUACAUAUUGUCACGCUCAGGAAUCAAACACAAGACGAGAAGAGCAGUAACGGUGUUGGGGAAGCGACACUGAAAAUAUAGCUUACUGAGCUACCAAUUCACACUAGAAGCUUAGCUGCCCUUAAGGAAAAAUAUAGUUUCCUUAAAGUUACUUUGAAAAAGUAGUACACUACAUCAAAACUACUUUGUGAAAAAUUAUCAAAUUUAAAUCUGAAAUGUCAUAGACUACAAGUUGCAAGAACAGAUCACUUUACUGGUCAAAUGUUAACAGAAUGUGUAAUUUGGCCUAUUAAACACAACAACUUCAAAUUUAGAAAGGAAGGUAUUGCCUACUUCGCCCAUAUUUUAUUUUCUUAUAGCAAAACAAAACAGUGUGGGUUUCCAGUAGUUAGCUACACCACCACAUGGCAAGAAAAGUAAUUAACUACUGAAAACACUACCUACCUACACUACCUACCUUUGAAUUCAGUUCAACUACCACCAAACUACUGUAAAAUCUAGUCAAAUUACUAGGUUUACAUGUUGUUCACUACUCCCCAACACUGAGCAGUUAUGAUUGUAGCCAACCGAAGUGUUCUGAAAAAUAUUUGAUUCUUAUUUACAAUAAAAGUGACUUCAAAAUGACAGUGCAUUAUUUACUAUUGUGCACAAAAUAAUCUGAAACAACCAAAACAAAGAGCAAGCGCAUCCAACAAAUUUGUGGUCACAAACUUGAUGAGGUCAUUGGGUGCUAUGAAUAUGGGACCAAGUGCUGUAAUUUCUAAAUGGGUCACCCGAUAUGGAUGAAAGUACCCUCAAAUUAAAGCAGUCAGUCUUUGCUUCAUUUCAAAUCCAAACUUUUGGAGUACAGAGCCAAAAGAAGAAAAUAUUUUUCACUGUCCCAAUAAGUAUUUGUGCUCCCGAGUGGCACAGCGGUCUAAGUCACUGUAUCUCCGUGCUAGAGGCGUCACGACAGACCCUGGUUCAAUUCCAGGUUGUAUCACAACCGGCCGUGAUUGGGAGUCGCAUAGGGCGGCGCACAAUUGGCCCAGCGUCGUCCGGGUUUGGCCGGGGUAGGCCAUCAUUGUAAAUAAGAAUUUGUUCUUAACUGACUUGCCUAGUUAAAUGAAGGUUUAAUCAAAUUAAAAUAAAUACAUAAUUAUGGAGGGCACUGUAUAUGGUAGGAUAGCUUUAAGAUGGUUCCUCGAAGACGUGGGUUUUGACUCGAUGUGUAUUUUUCUCCACUGAUUUAUGUGUCACGUUCUGUCAAUUGUUUUCCCUGAUUGAAAAUCAUACUUAGGUAGCCUGGUUUCACUUUUGAGUUGUGGGUGUUUAUUUUCUGUUCUGCGUUUUGUUGCACCGUUCAGGACUGUUCGUUUGUCGUGUAUUGUUUUUGUUUCAGUAUUCAUUCUUUAUUAAAUUACAAUGAAUACUUACCACGCUGCACCUUGGUCCUCUCUUUUUCCCGACGACAACCGUUACAGAAACACCCACCAAAAAGGGACCAAGCAGCUUGGUUUCGGGGAGCAGCGAUCUCAGGACUCCUGGACAUGGGACAGCCCAUUGCGGGUUAUUCCACCUCGCCGCACUGGCCUGGCUACGGGGAGCAUUCAACCAGGUGUUCCCGCCUGUCCAGCGCUGCCAGAGUCUCCCGUCUGUCCUGAGCUGCCAGAGUCUCCCGUCUGUCCUGAGCUGCCAGAGUCUCCCGUCUGUCCUGAGCUGCCAGAGUCUCCCGUCUGUCCUGAGCUGCCAGAGCCGCCAGUCUGUCCUGAGCUGCCAGAGCCGCCAGUCUGUCCUGAGCUGCCAGAGCCGCCAGUCUGUCCUGAGCUGCCAGAGCCGCCAGUCUGUCCUGAGCUGCCAGAGCCGCCAGUCUGUCCUGAGCCGUCAGUCAGCCAGGAGCUGUCAGAGCCGUCAGUCAGCCAGGAGCUGCCAGAGCCGUCUGUCAGCCAGGAGCUGCCAGAGCCGUCAGUCAGCCAGGAGCUGCCAGAGCCGUCAGUCAGCCAGGAGCUGCCAGAGCCGUCAGUCAGCCAGGAGCUGCCAGAGCCGUCAGUCAGCCAGGAGCUGCCAGAGCCGUCAGUCAGCCAGGAGCUGCCUGAGCCGUCAGUCAGCCAGGAGCUGCCAGAGCAGUCAGUCAGCCAGGAGCUGCCAGAGACGUCAGUCAGCCAGGGGCUGCCAGAAUCGCCCUUCACUCCCGCCUGUCCGGCGUUGCCGGAGUCUCCCUUCUGUCCGGUGCUGCCGGAAUCUCCCGUCCAUUCGGGACCCAUUGCUAGGGUCCCCAGUCCGAGGUCGAAAUUGGCCACGGAGGCGGUUGAGGAGGCGGACAAAGACUAUGGUGGAAAUGGGGUCCACGUCCCGCGCCAGAACUGCCACCGCGGACAGACACCCACCCAGACCCUCCCAUAUAGGUUCAGGUUUUGCGGCCGGAGUCCGCACCUUUGGGGGGGGGGGGUACUGUCACGUUCUGACCUUAGUUCCUUUGUUAUGUCUUUGUUUUAGAAUGGUCAGGGCGUGAGUUGGGUGGGUUGUCUAUGUUCUUUUUUCUAUAAUUUGGGAUUUUCUGUGUUCGGCCUGGUAUGGUUCUCAGAGGCAGCUGCAUUUACAUUACAUUUACAUGUAAGUCAUUUAGCAGACGCUCUUAUCCAGAGCGACUUACAAAUUGGUGCAUUCACCUUAUGACAUCCAGUGGAACAGCCACUUUACAAUAGUGCAUCUAAAUAUUUUAAGGGGGGGGGGGGUGAGAAGGAUUACUUUAUCCUAUCCUAGGUAUUCCUUAAAGAGGUGGGGUUUCAGGUGUCUCCGGAAGGUGGUGAUUGACUCCGCUGUCCUGGCGUCGUGAGGGAGUGUGUUCCACCAUUGGGGAGCCAGAGCAGCGAACAGUUUUGACUGGGCUGAGCGGGAACUCUGCCAAUCGUUGUCUCUGAUUGAGAAUCAUAUUUAGGUAGCCUGGUUUCACUUUUGAGUUGUGGGUGUUUAUUUUCUGUUCUGUGUUUUGUUGCACCGUUCAGGACUGUUCGUUUUAUUCGUGUAUUGGUCUUUGUUUCAGUAUUCAUUCUUUAUUAAAUUACAAUGAAUACUUA